ensembl:lncRNA
CAUGUUCCAUGUUCUAUGCUCCGUUCACCACAGCAUAAGAACACAGUCUGUUGCACAUCCAGUCAGUCAGUUUCAAACCUCGCAUCUACACACUGAAGUUUUCCGGACCUACACUUGCAGAAAGCAACCAUGUAAUGCCUCAGGAGUCUGUAGAGGGGACGAAGACGCGUUCUGCUGCACUUAACAGAGCUCAAGACCAACGGGACCCCUUGGGGCCGCCUCGUGAACCCCUCAGGAGAAAAUCCAGAUCUACGCGUGACACACAGACUCCCGCCCACACACACAUACACACGCACACACACACAGACACACUAACAUUUGGUUCUAAACAAAGACACACACUAAGAGUUAGACACAUUAAUAUUUAGAUGUACACACAGACACACUAACAUUUAGAUGUACACACAGACACACUAACAUUUGGUUCUAAACAAUGACACACACUAAUAUUUAGAUGUACACAAAGACACAAUAACAAUUAGAUAUACACACAAACACAAUAUCAUUUGGUUCUAAACAAAGACACACACUAAUAUUUAGAUGUACACAAAGACACACACUAAUAUUUAGAUGUACACAAAGACAUAUUAAUAUUUAGAUGUACACACAGACACACUAACAUUUGGUUCUAAACAAAGACACACUAAUAUUUAGAUGUGCACAAAGACAUAUUAAUAUUUAGAUGUACACACAGACACACUAACAUUUAGAUGUACACACAGACACACUAACAAUUAGAUGUAAACACAGACACACUAACAACAUUAACAUGUUAAUAACUUUUCUUCUUUUCUCUCUUCUCAGGAACUGCUUCAGAUGUUUUCCCAAUGAUUGUGUUAUUAUUAUUGUUAAAUAUGUCGUCUGUUUAUUAUUUUAACAAUGAAAAUACAUUUUAAUAAAAAUAAAACCAAA